GUUUAUGGAUAAAAUUAAGAAUGUGAAUGGGGAAAUACGGUGAAAUUAACCCUACAGAAACCGGCACUUUAUACAUGUAUAUGUUUAUCUUCUUUACAAGUGAUCUUAUGAAUGUUUAUCGAGUACGAAAGUUCCCUUCUUUGACUUUGUCUUUCUUUACUUGGUAACCACGAGCAACCCAAGCUUUGUGUUCUUGCUUCAUUUAUUUACCUUUCAGUUCAUUCUGCAAAGUCUUUGACCAGGUGUUCUUUCUCACUCUCUUUGUAAAGGGAAUUCAGUUUGGGCAGUCAAUGACUGCAGUUGAGUUGUUGUAUUUGGUGAUUUUACAGGGGCUGAUAUAUAAGAGCUGCCUUUUUAGAGAUGAUACUUUCAGCCCUUUAAACUUCUGUUGGGAUCAAUCUUGGUCUUUGCUUUUUGUUUUUUGCUCUAUACUCGAUAUUGAGGAACCAGCCAGGUAAUAUCCCCCUAUAUUCGCCUCGGUUGUUCAGUGAAAGAAAAGCUCAGGAAGAGGAUGAGUUCAACUUGGAAUGAUUGCUACCAUCACCUGGUUGGUUGAAAAGGGCAUGGCAACCAUCUGAGGAUGAAUUAUUGUCAAUUACAGGCUUGGAUGCUGUCGUGUUUAUGCGCAUUUUUAUCUUCUGUGUUAGAGUGUUUGCCUUUGCCUGUGUCGUCGGAAUCUUUGUUCUUCUGCCAGUUAAUUUUUCGGGCGACCAAUUAACCAUUGAUUUCUCUAAUUUGCCGAACAAAACCCUGGAGUCAUUCAGUGUUUCAAAUGUGAAUGAUGGUUCAAACAGGUAAUUAUUAUGUAGUUAGUUAAGUUCAGUUUCUGAUCUUAAAACUCUUGAAUAACUAUUGUUAUGUCAAAGAAGAAAAAACCGUUAAAGCUGAGACUUGACCAAAUGCAGCAGAGGCAAAAAAUUCUUACCCCAAAGCUUGACCGUUUUUCAAACGAGACUUAUUUUUUUGUCUAAA